rnacentral:rRNA from 1 species
UACGUAGGGUGCAAGCGUUAUCCGGAAUUACUGGGCGUAAAGCGCACGUAGGUGGUUUGCUAAGUCAGCUGUGAAAUCCCCGGGCUCAACCUGGGCACUGCAGUUGAAACUGGCAAGCUAGAGUAGGGUAGAGGGGUGUGGAAUUCCAGGUGUAGCGGUGAAAUGCGUAGAUAUCUGGAGGAACAUCAGUGGCGAAGGCGACUUACUGGACACAUAUUGGACGCUGAGGUGCGAAAGCGUGGGGAGCAAACAGGG